rnacentral:rRNA from 1 species
GAUGAACGCUGGCGGCGUGCUUAACACAUGCCAGUCGAACGAUGAAGCCCAGCUUGCUGGGUGGAUUAGUGGCGAACGGGUGAGUAACACGUGAGUAACCUGCCCUUAACUCUGGGAUAAGCCUGGGAAACUGGGUCUAAUACCGGACAGGAGCGUCCACCGCAUGGAGGGUGUUGGAAAGAUUUAUCGGCUUUGGAUGGAUUCGCGGCGUAUCAGCUUGUUGGUGAGGUAAUGGCUAACCAAGGCGAAGACGGGUAGCCGGCAUGAGAGGGGGAACGGCCACAAUGGGACUGCGAGACGGACCAGACUGCAAUGGGAGGCAGCAGGCGGGAAUAUUGCACAACGGGGGCGAGCCUGAUGCAGCGACGUCGCGUGAGUGAUGCCGGCUUUCGGGUUGUAAACCUCUGUCUGUAGGGAAGAAGCGAACGUGACGGUACCUGCAGAGGAAGCACCGGCUAACUACGUG